AGACCAUCUUCCGUAAAUGGUCAGAGACCAUCUUCCGUAAAUGGUCAGAGACAAUCUUCCGUAAAUGGUCAGAGACAAUCUUCCGUAAAUGAUCAGAGACCAUCUUCCGUAAAUGGUCAGAGACAAUCUUCCGUAAAUGAUCAGAGACCAUCUUCUGUAAAUGGUCAGAGACAAUCUUCCGUAAAUGAUCAGAGACCAUCUUCCGUAAAUGGUCAGAGACAAUCUUCUGUAAAUGGUCAGAGACAAUCUUCAGUAAAUGGUCAGAGACCAUCUUCUGUAAAUGGUCAGAGACCAUCUUCUGUAAAUGGUCAGAGACCAUCUUCCAUAAAUGGUCAGAGACUAUAUUCGUUAAAUGGUCAGACAAGCUCUAGAGCAGGCCCAACUAAGGUCUCAUCCACUACCAAAUCUAAUUCGAUGUUGGCAGCAGACAAAAGGCAGUUAAAU
rnacentral:lncRNA from 1 species